CGUGUAGGCGGUUUCGUAAGUCGAAUGUGAAAUCUCACGGCUCAACCGUGAAAUUGCGUUCGAAACUACGAGACUUGAGUUAGGGAGAGGUGUGCGGAAUUCCUGGUGUAGCGGUGGAAUGCGUAGAUAUCAGGAAGAACACCGAUGGCGAAGGCAGCACACUGGCCUGUAACUGACGCUGAGGCGCGAAAGCGUGGGGAGCAAACA
rnacentral:rRNA from 1 species